AUAAAAUAUAGAGACAGAUACAUAUAUAAAUAUUAAGAGAGGGAAAGAAAGAAAGAAAGAAAGAUAGAUAGAUAGAUAGAUAGAGAUGUCAAUGACGAGUUGUUUUUGUUGUUUUCUUUUUCUCUCUUUUAUUUUAUUUUUUUUUUUUUUUUUACAUCGCUAUUCUAUAGACUGAAGAGAUAGAUUUCCUUCGAGGUGAAUUG
rnacentral:rRNA from 13 species